GAAAUGCGAUAAGUAAUGUGAAUUGCAGAAUUCAGUGAAUCAUCGAAUCUUUGAACGCACCUUGCGCUCCUUGGUAUUCCUUGGAACAUGCCUAUUUGAGUAUCAUGAAAUCUUCAAAGUAAAUCUUUUGUUAACUCAAUUGGUUUCUACUUUGGUAUUGGAGGUCUUUGCAGCUUCACACCUGCUCCUCUUUGUUCAUUAGCUGGAUCUCAGUGUUAUGCUUGGUUCCACUCGGCGUGAUAAGUUAUCUAUCGCUGAGGACACUGUAAAAGGUGGCCAAGGUAAAUGCAGAUGAACCGCUUCUAAUAGUCCAUUGACUUGGACAAUACUUUUAUGAUCUGAUCUAAAAUCAGGUAGGACUACCCGCUGAACUUAAGC
rnacentral:misc_RNA from 1 species